rnacentral:rRNA from 1 species
ACCGGGAUUGCCCCAGUAACGGCGAGUGAAGCGGCAAGAGCUCAAAUUUGAAAUCUGGCCCCUCCGGGGUCCGAGUUGUAAUUUGUAGAGGAUGCUUCGGGUGCGGCCCCCGUCGAAGUGCCCUGGAACGGGCCGUCGGAGAGGGUGAGAAUCCCGUCUGGGACGGGGUGUCCGUGCCUGUGUGAAGCUCCCUCGACGAGUCGAGUUGUUUGGGAAUGCAGCUCUAAGUGGGUGGUAAAUUUCAUCUAAAGCUAAAUACCGGCCGGAGACCGAUAGCGCACAAGUAGAGUGAUCGAAAGAUGAAAAGCACCUUGAAAAGGGAGCGAAACAGUACGUGAAAUUGUUGAAAGGGAAGCGCUGGCGACCAGACUCGCCCGCGGGGUUCAGCCGGCAUUCGUGCCGGUGUACUUCCCCGCGGGCGGGCCAGCGUCGGUUUGGGCGGUCGGUCAAAGGCUCCCGGAAUGUAGUGCCUCUCGGGGCGCCUUAUAGCCGGGGGUGCAAUGCGGCCUGCCCGGACCGAGGAACGCGCUUCGGCACGGACGCUGGCAUAAUGGUCGUCAACGACCCGUCUUGAAACACGGACCAAGGAGUCUAACAUCUACGCGAGUGUUCGGGUGGCAAACCCGUGCGCGAAGUGAAAGCGAACGGAGGUGGGAGCCCCCUCGCGGGGCGCACCAUCGACCGAUCCUGAUGUCUUCGGAUGGAUUUGAGUAGGAGCGUAGCUGUGGGGACCCGAAAGAUGGUGAACUAUGCCUGAAUAGGGCGAAGCCAGGGGAAACUCUGGUGGAGGCUCGCAGCGGUUCUGACGUGCAAAUCGAUCGUCAAAUUUGGGUAUAGGGGCGAAAGACUAAUCG